AGGCAGUGAUGAACAAAUAACUGUGCCAGAGGCGAGUUUCUUUCUUGAGCUCGUCGUUGAUGGCGCAAUCCUCUAAGAAGUUCUGAGCUC